UACGUAGGUGGCAAGCGUUGUCCGGCAUUAUUGGGCGUAAAGCGCGCGCAUUCGGCCUCUUAAGUCUGAUGUGAAAGCCCACGGCUCAACCGUGGAGGGUCAUUGGAAACUGGGGAACUUGAGUGCAGAAGAGAAAAGUGGAAUUCCAAGUGUAGCGGUGAAAUGCGUAGAGAUGUGGAGGAACACCAGUGGCGAAGGCGACUCUUUGGCCUAUAACUGACGCUGAGGCGCGAAAGCGUGGGGAGCAAACAGG
rnacentral:misc_RNA from 1 species